rnacentral:rRNA from 1 species
GAUGAACGCUGGCGGCGUGCCUAAUACAUGCAAGUCGAGCGAACGGACGAGAAGCUUGCUUCUCUGAUGUUAGCGGCGGACGGGUGAGUAACACGUGGAUAACCUACCUAUAAGACUGGGAUAACUUCGGGAAACCGGAGCUAAUACCGGAUAAUAUUUUGAACCGCAUGGUUCAAAAGUGAAAGACGGUCUUGCUGUCACUUAUAGAUGGAUCCGCGCUGCAUUAGCUAGUUGGUAAGGUAACGGCUUACCAAGGCAACGAUGCUUAGCCGACCUGAGAGGGUGGUCGGCCACACGGGAACUGAGACACGGUCCAGACUCCUACGGGAGGCAGCAGUAGGGAAUCUUCCGCAAUGGGCGAAAGCCUGACGGAGCAACGCCGCGUGAGUGAUGAAGGUCUUCGGAUCGUAAAACUCUGUUAUUAGGGAAGAACAUAUGUGUAAGUAACUGUGCACAUCUUGACGGUACCUAAUCAGAAAGCCACGGCUAACUACGUG